UACAGAGGUCCCAAGCGUUGUUCGGAUUCAUUGGGCGUAAAGGGUGCGUAGGUGGCGCCGUAAGUCGGGUGUGAAAUUUCGGAGCUUAACUCCGAAACUGCACUCGAUACUGCGGUGCUUGAGGACUGGAGAGGAGACUGGAAUUCAUGGUGUAGCAGUGAAAUGCGUAGAGAUCAUGAGGAAGACCAGUGGCGAAGGCGGGUCUCUGGACAGUUCCUGACACUGAGGCACGAAGGCCAGGGGAGCAAACGGG
rnacentral:rRNA from 1 species